rnacentral:rRNA from 1 species
GAUGAACGCUGGCGGCGUGCCUAAUACAUGCAAGUCGAGCGAACAGACGAGGAGCUUGCACCUCUGACGUUAGCGGCGGACGGGUGAGUAACACGUGGAUAACCUACCUAUAAGACUGGGAUAACUUCGGGAAACCGGAGCUAAUACCGGAUAAUAUAUUGAACCGCAUGGUUCAAUAGUGAAAGACGGUUUUGCUGUCACUUAUAGAUGGAUCCGCGCCGCAUUAGCUAGUUGGUAAGGUAACGGCUUACCAAGGCAACGAUGCGUAGCCGACCUGAGAGGGUGAUCGGCCACACUGGAACUGAGACACGGUCCAGACUCCUACGGGAGGCAGCAGUAGGGAAUCUUCCGCAAAGGGCGAAAGCUUGACGGAGCAACGCCGCGUGAGUGAUGAAGGUCUUCGGAUCGUAAAACUCUGUUAUUAGGGAAGAACAAAUGUGUAAGUAACUAUGCACGUCUUGACGGUACCUAAUCAGAAAGCCACGGCUAACUACGUG